AGCUGGAACUUGCACCCGGCCAGCCUGGCUCCAGAGUUCACUGCCCUCCUCCUGUACAGCACGUGUGACCUGCAGUAAUCACCGCCCAAACAGGCACUGCGGGUAGCCAAGCACACGUCAUCUGACUUCAGCACGGAGGAAGGUUCGUUUCCAUUCUGGUGUUCAGCUCAGUUAGGACUGUUUUUAUCACCACAAGGACGCACAACUCAGAAAGCUCAGUCACGUGUCAUUGCCUUCUACGGUCAUGGUUUUCUACUUUUUGGCCCCAUUUUCCUGCCCACUUGGCCUGCUGGGAAGUGAAUGAUGCGUUACUUCUACAGAAUGCAGGGUUCUUCCCCCUCUACACUCCAGCCCCGCAACCGUGAAGUUCCCGGGGUCCCUGGCCAGUCACUUGCUGAAGCCUCGCUCUCCAGGAUCUCUGUAAAGAGGCACCCUGCUCUAAUGCCUGCUUCUCCAGGAAUAUUUGCUCUGGAAACGGCUGAGAAUAAAAACCCAUCUCUAACAGUUUGAUUGCAGGUGGGUGGCCCCGGGGCAAGUGAUUUUGGGAAGGUGGGGCUGGCUGGCGCCCUGUGUCCUGACUUUUCUUCUGAGCUUCUGCAAAACCACUUUUGAGAAAAUUAAUUGGGGUGGGCACUCCUGGGUGGCGUUUUCUUCUAAGUGUGAAAAUCUGUUUGUAGAAUUCCUGUAGUCGCAGGAGCUGUGGUUGCCUGUCACGAUCCUGUGGAGACCCGGGCUGCCCUUCUGUGUCCUGGCAGUGUGG
rnacentral:lncRNA from 10 species